rnacentral:rRNA from 1 species
AACGGCUACCACAUCCAAGGAAGGCAGCAGGCGCGCAAAUUACCCACUCUCAGAAUGAGGAGGUAGUGACGAAAAAUAACGAGACCGUUCUCUUUGUAGGCCGGUUAUCGGAAUGGGUACAAUUUAAACCCGUUAACGAGGAUCUAUGAGAGGGCAAGUCUGGUGC